rnacentral:rRNA from 1 species
ACGGGAGGCAGCAGUGGGGAAUAUUGGACAAUGGGGGAAACCCUGAUCCAGCGACGCCGCGUGAGUGAAGAAGUAUUUCGGUAUGUAAAGCUCUAUCAGCAGGGAAGAUAAUGACGGUACCUGACUAAGAAGCCCCGGCUAACUACGUGCCAGCAGCCGCGGUAAUACGUAGGGGGCAAGCGUUAUCCGGAUUUACUGGGUGUAAAGGGAGCGCAGGCGGUACGGCAAGUCUGAUGUGAAAGCCCGGGGCUCAACCCCGGUACUGCAUUGGAAACUGUCGAACUAGAGUGUCGGAGGGGUAAGUGGAAUUCCUAGUGUAGCGGUGAAAUGCGUAGAUAUUAGGAGGAACACCAGUGGCGAAGGCGGCUUACUGGACGAUCACUGACGCUGAGGCUCGAAAGCGUGGGGAGCAAACAGGAUUAGAUACCCUGGUA